rnacentral:lncRNA from 1 species
UCCUGCCUCAGCCUCCCAAGUAGCUGGGAUUACAGGCACGCACCACCACGCCCAGCUAAUUUUUGUAUCUUUAGUAGAGACGGGGUUUCACCAUGUUGGCCAAGAUGGUUUCGAUCUCCUGACCUCAUGAUCUGCCCACCUCGGCCUCCCAAAGUGUCUGUCCCUUCUUCAUUCACCAGCCACAAUGACACACAGAACAUAGCGGGAGGAAAAUAGUUUAUAUUUAUUCCUAAGAAAAGAAACUUCUGUAACCAUUCUAAAUUUCCAGAAAAACUUAUUGUGAGUGCUAAACUAAUAUUAUCCUGACCUAGGACAAAUUGCCAACUCCUAAGGGUGAGAUUUAUAGGAGAAAACCAUGUCUACGCUUGAGGCGAGUGCUUAGUAGAGAUACAAUAGCCAGUUGCUAUUAUUUCAAGGUUUGUCUGUCUCUAAAUAUUGCCUGCUUAGGUCUGACUAUGCUAAGAUUAGUGAUAAUCUGCUCUGAAUUAAAGGUUUAGAUGCACUUUUCCCAGGAUAAAAUUAAGUUUGGGGACUUUCUCUUUUCCUGGGAGCAAAAACCUCAGAAACUAAGUGUGCCAUAUGCUGGAACAUGGAAACAUUCCAGUAGCCAGAAGUAGAGGGAAGACAAAAAUGGCUUCCCUAAAGCAAGGCAAAUCAGAGACAGCCAGUCCUGUGGCCACCACUAAUCACUUGUAAACGAACACUGCGAUGUGUUUCAAAAGCCCUCAUUCUGACUCUGCCUGAUCUGUUACUGAAAUGUUAAUUAUAUGCCUAAUCUUCUCUUGCAGACAAAGGCAACAGAGUUGCUAAAAAUGAUAGCGGGUGAAAGUCUCCAAGGAGAGUUUGAGGCCAGAACUUGGAUUGGGCAAAUUCCUCCUGAUCACACCACACUACGUUGAAGACGAGGUAGGUUAAGGGCAAGAAAAAUGCCAUGAAAUUUCGUAUUGCUUCUAUGUGGCUUUUUUUUUCAGUUAGGCAUUUGCUUUGUUGCUGCAGCUUCUUAGCUAAUUUUAAGAGUUCUUACAAAGCAACUUUGGUCUAUGUAUUUUUUAUUUGACAUUUUUAUGGGAAAAUAUGGCCCUGAAACUUCCUAGUCUGCUACUUGCUGAUAUAUCUUUAAUGAAUGAAAUAAAUUAAUAAAAUCAGAAACAGGACAUAUUUUAUAAUAUAAAUAUACAAUAUCUUAAGAAGAACAAUUUGGACGAUGGCAUGAAUGUUAAUCCUUCUAUUUUAGCAAAAACGUUUCCACAUUAUUAACAGCACUCCCUCUCUCAGGGAGUGCCAAAGUAGAGUUCUUUUAGUAUUGGAGACCCAGCUCUUAGUGUUUAGGUUUAUGUACAUCUGCUGUCCUUCUGAACAGUAUAUUACUUCAAAGUUA